GAUGAACGCUGACAGAAUGCUUAACACAUGCAAGUCUACUUGAAUUUGGGUUUUUUAACUUAGAUUUGGAUGGCGGACGGGUGAGUAACGCGUAAAGAACUUGCCUCACAGCUAGGGACAACAUUUGGAAACGAAUGCUAAUACCUGAUAUUAUGAUUAUAAGGCAUCUUAGAAUUAUGAAAGCUAUAUGCGCUGUGAGAGAGCUUUGCGUCCCAUUAGCUAGUUGGAGAGGUAACGGCUCACCAAGGCGAUGAUGGGUAGCCGGCCUGAGAGGGUGAACGGCCACAAGGGGACUGAGACACGGCCCUUACUCCUACGGGAGGCAGCAGUGGGGAAUAUUGGACAAUGGACCAAGAGUCUGAUCCAGCAAUUCUGUGUGCACGAUGACGUUUUUCGGAAUGUAAAGUGCUUUCAGUUGGGAAGAAAAAAAUGACGGUACCAACAGAAGAAGUGACGGCUAAAUACGUG
rnacentral:rRNA from 1 species